UGCAAUUGGAGCAUCACUCUCGCACGCACUUGUUCUCUCUCUCUCUCUCUCUCUCUCUUGUAUGCCAUGAGUCCAACUAUGAUGUCCAGUGAUUCCAUUGCGAUCGGCAACAACGCAAGAAUCAAAUUCAUUUACAAUUACGGUGGCAGAAUCGCCUACCGUUCCACUGACGGCAAACUCAUUUAUGUCAGUGGCUUGACCAAAGUCCUUGUCGUUGCUUGCGCCAUCAAAUUCCAAGGAAUGUUGUGUUGGUAUGGUGAAGCAGAUUGCUAUUUGUGGGCAGGGUUUGUAAUAUUAGCUGGGGUGGUGCGUUAGAAGUAUUACACUUUCAGUAGGGUUUCAAUGAGUAAUGCUGCUGACUUGAUGAUAUUUGUCCAAUUCAUCAUUGUGGGCAUUUAUGAUGUUGAAGGGGGAUGUCAUUUAAAAAUAUUUGGAAAUUUGUUGUUAACACAGGAUUUCUAAUUCUUUCCAAUUUAGAAAAUUUUCAAUUA